AUUGAACGCUGGCGGCGCGCUUAACACAUGCAAGUCGAGCGAGAACCAGGACUUCGGUCCUGGGGACAGCGGCGAACGGGUGAGUAUCACGUGGAUAACCUGCCCUCGGCACCGGGAUAGCCCGGGGAAACCCGGAUUAAUACCGGAUGGCCCUUCCGGCUCACGAGCCGGUCGGAAAAGGUAGCUUCGGCCUCCGGCCGAGGAUGGGGCCGCGGCGGAUUAGCUUGUUGGUGGGGGAAUGGCCUACCAAGGCUCCGAUCCGUAGCUGGUCUGAGGGGACGAUCAGCCACACUGGGACUGAGACACGGCCCAGACUCCUACGGGAGGCAGCAGUGGGGAAUCUUGCGCAAUGGGCGAAAGCCUGACGCAGCGACGCCGCGUGAGGGAGGAAGGCCUUCGGGUUGUAAACCUCUUUCAGGAGGGACGAAGCUACUCGGGUGAAUAGCCCAGAGGGUGACGGUACCUCCAGAAGAAGCCCCGGCUAACUACGUGCCAGCCGCCGCCGUAAAAC
rnacentral:rRNA from 1 species